GACAGAGGGUGCGAGCGUUAAUCGGAAUUACUGGGCGUAAAGCGUGCGCAGGCGGUUAUGUAAGACAGGUGUGAAAUCCCCGGGCUUAACCUGGGAACUGCAUUUGUGACUGCAUAGCUAGAGUACGGUAGAGGGGGAUGGAAUUCCGCGUGUAGCAGUGAAAUGCGUAGAUAUGCGGAGGAACACCGAUGGCGAAGGCAAUCCCCUGGACCUGUACUGACGCUCAUGCACGAAAGCGUGGGGAGCAAACAGG
rnacentral:rRNA from 1 species